GGUUAAGCGACUAAGCGUACACGGUGGAUGCCCAGGCAGUCAGAGGCGAUGAAGGACGUGCUAAUCUGCGAAAAGCGCCGGCGAGGUGAUAUGAACCCUUGACCCGGCGAUGUCCGAAUGGGGAAACCCAGUGUGUUUCGACACACUAUCGUUAACUGAAUACAUAGGUUAACGAGGCGAACCGGGGGAACUGAAACAUCUAAGUACCCCGAGGAAAAGAAAUCAACCGAGAUUCCCCCAGUAGCGGCGAGCGAACGGGGAGCAGCCCGGAGUCUGAAUCAGCUUGUGUGUUAGUGGAACGGUCUGGAAAGUCCGACGGUACAGGGUGAUAGUCCCGUACACGAAAGCACACUUGCUGUGAACUCGAAGAGUAGGGCGGGACACGUGGUAUCCUGUCUGAAUAUGGGGGGACCAUCCUCCAAGGCUAAAUACUCCUGACUGACCGAUAGUGAACCAGUACCGUGAGGGAAAGGCGAAAAGAACCCCGGCGAGGGGAGUGAAAAAGAACCUGAAACCGUGUACGUACAAGCAGUGGGAGCACCUUCGUGGUGUGACUGCGUACCUUUUGUAUAAUGGGUCAGCGACUUAUAUUCUGUAGCAAGGUUAACCGUAUAGGGGAGCCGAAGGGAAACCGAGUCUUAACUGGGCGUUAAGUUGCAGGGUAUAGACCCGAAACCCGGUGAUCUAGCCAUGGGCAGGUUGAAGGUUGGGUAACACUAACUGGAGGACCGAACCGACUAAUGUUGAAAAAUUAGCGGAUGACCUGUGGCUGGGGGUGAAAGGCCAAUCAAACCGGGAGAUAGCUGGUUCUCCCCGAAAGCUAUUUAGGUAGCGCCUCGUGAACUCAUCUUCGGGGGUAGAGCACUGUUUCGGCUAGGGGGCCAUCCCGGCUUACCAACCCGAUGCAAACUACGAAUACCGAAGAAUGUUAUCACGGGAGACACACGGCGGGUGCUAACGUCCGUCGUGAAGAGGGAAACAACCCAGACCGCCAGCUAAGGUCCCAAAGUCAUGGUUAAGUGGGAAACGAUGUGGGAAGGCACAGACAGCCAGGAUGUUGGCUUAGAAGCAGCCAUCAUUUAAAGAAAGCGUAAUAGCUCACUGGUCGAGUCGGCCUGCGCGGAAGAUGUAACGGGGCUAAACCAUGCACCGAAGCUGCGGCAGCGACACUAUGUGUUGUUGGGUAGGGGAGCGUUCUGUAAGCCGUUGAAGGUGUGCUGUGAGGCAUGCUGGAGGUAUCAGAAGUGCGAAUGCUGACAUAAGUAACGAUAAAGCGGGUGAAAAGCCCGCUCGCCGGAAGACCAAGGGUUCCUGUCCAACGUUAAUCGGGGCAGGGUGAGUCGACCCCUAAGGCGAGGCCGAAAGGCGUAGUCGAUGGGAAACAGGUUAAUAUUCCUGUACUUGGUGUUACUGCGAAGGGGGGACGGAGAAGGCUAUGUCAGCCGGGCGACGGUUGUCCCGGUUUAAGCAUGUAGGCGGAGGUUCCAGGUAAAUCCGGUACCUUUUAACGCUGAGGUGUGAUGACGAGGCACUACGGUGCUGAAGUGAUAAAUGCCCUGCUUCCAGGAAAAGCCUCUAAGCAUCAGGUAACACGAAAUCGUACCCCAAACCGACACAGGUGGUCAGGUAGAGAAUACCAAGGCGCUUGAGAGAACUCGGGUGAAGGAACUAGGCAAAAUGGUGCCGUAACUUCGGGAGAAGGCACGCUGAUAGGUAGGUGAAGCCCCUGCGGGCGGAGCUGAAAUCAGUCGAAGAUACCAGCUGGCUGCAACUGUUUAUUAAAAACACAGCACUGUGCAAACACGAAAGUGGACGUAUACGGUGUGACGCCUGCCCGGUGCCGGAAGGUUAAUUGAUGGGGUUAGCGGCAACGCGAAGCUCUUGAUCGAAGCCCCGGUAAACGGCGGCCGUAACUAUAACGGUCCUAAGGUAGCGAAAUUCCUUGUCGGGUAAGUUCCGACCUGCACGAAUGGCGUAAUGAUGGCCAGGCUGUCUCCACCCGAGACUCAGUGAAAUUGAACUCGCUGUGAAGAUGCAGUGUACCCGCGGCAAGACGGAAAGACCCCGUGAACCUUUACUAUAGCUUGACACUGAACACUGGUCCUUGAUGUGUAGGAUAGGUGGGAGGCUUUGAAGCGUGGACGCCAGUCUGCGUGGAGCCGUCCUUGAAAUACCACCCUUUAAUGGCUGGUGUUCUAACGUAGACCCGUGAUCCGGGUUGCGGACAGUGUCUGGUGGGUAGUUUGACUGGGGCGGUCUCCUCCCAAAGAGUAACGGAGGAGCACGAAGGUUGGCUAAUCCUGGUCGGACAUCAGGAGGUUAGUGCAAUGGCAUAAGCCAGCUUGACUGCGAGCGUGACGGCGCGAGCAGGUGCGAAAGCAGGUCAUAGUGAUCCGGUGGUUCUGAAUGGAAGGGCCAUCGCUCAACGGAUAAAAGGUACUCCGGGGAUAACAGGCUGAUACCGCCCAAGAGUUCAUAUCGACGGCGGUGUUUGGCACCUCGAUGUCGGCUCAUCACAUCCUGGGGCUGAAGUAGGUCCCAAGGGUAUGGCUGUUCGCCAUUUAAAGUGGUACGCGAGCUGGGUUUAGAACGUCGUGAGACAGUUCGGUCCCUAUCUGCCGUGGGCGCUGGAGAAUUGAGGGGGGCUGCUCCUAGUACGAGAGGACCGGAGUGGACGCAUCACUGGUGUUCGGGUUGUCAUGCCAAUGGCACUGCCCGGUAGCUAAAUGCGGAAGAGAUAAGUGCUGAAAGCAUCUAAGCACGAAACUUGCCCCGAGAUGAGUUCUCCCUGAGACUUUAAGUCUCCUGAAGGAACGUUGAAGACGACGACGUUGAUAGGUCGGGUGUGUAAGCGCAGCGAUGCGUUGAGCUAACCGAUACUAAUGAACCGUGAGGCUUAACCUU
rnacentral:rRNA from 1 species